UUUAGGCAAGCCAAAGUGUGGCUAACAAUUUGAGCAACUCAACUAAGGCAAGUGUGGCAAGUGUGGCAAAAAUCAUAUGGCAAUAUAUGGCAAAGAUAGUCACAAUCCAAACAGCCCCUAAAUGCACCACUGGAUGGCAUUUUAUUUCACCUUUUUCUCAUUUCUUUUGAGUUUUCAUGCUCAUGUUUUCUCUGACGGUUCUGUUCUGCGCCGUCCAAUCUCUUCUCUCUCGUAUCAAAGAGACAGAUGGCACCCGUCCACGGGUUCCAUAAUCUCCACAUUGCUGAAACUACGUCAGAUUGUUAACGGCAACAAAUGGGUGAAAUCAUCUUACGCAAAAGGUGGUGUUGGGAAAGAGAUUGCAGUAGCUACUCCCUCAGAUCCCUGCAACACUUAUUUUGGACCAGAAAGAGUAUUAUUUUGGAAGACUUUUUGGCGCCCAAUGCAAACAUGUAGCGUAAGUCACUGAGCCACUGCCACGUGUACUACGCUUAGUGGAUAGCAAUGAAAAACCUUCAAUGGGUUGCCUGUAUGAAGCCAUGGAGAAGGUAAAGGUACUAUAAGUUAUGUUGAGUAAUCGAUGUGGUUGGAGAAGAAACUUCACAGUCAAUGGAGAAGAUGCAAAGCAUUGUGUCUAGGCCCUAGGGAGCUUAUUAAGAAAUCAAGGUGUUUCUCCAGCUCCAUGAGCACAAGAAAUCAAGCGGUUAAUUUGGCCUUCCAAAUUGCAAUUCGUCAAGGAGAGAAACUUAACCCAGGAACUUGCACAAGUGCAUAGAUGCCAUUGACCCUGUUAACCUGGACAACAUAGUUGUUUUGGAUGAACAAGUCAGUGAAGAGCCUAAGCCUUCUUUGCACAGAUGGCCUGAACUAGGAGAGCAUUGACACGCCAUUUGCCGAACCAACUUCAGAUGAUGAAGAACUCCUCGCUAUUGAAGACGGCGAUGAGGCCCUGGGCCCGAUGCCGGCACUGUCCUGGUCAAGAGCAGAUGCCUCAUACUGCGCACAUCCAGAUCAGGAUCCUCGUGUCUCUGUGACUCAAGAUGGUGUGCAACAUAAGCCUGCCUAGUGAGUCCCGGAAGGCUGGAAGCUAUGUUGAGUAGUGAACAGAUCUGCACUUCUGCAGUUAGGACACAUGUACCAGGCUCUGAAGCUUUCCUAUGCAUGGAAUUGAUUGCCGGCAGCUCAACUUUAUCUGGUUAUUAGUUUCGUAAUCCAAACUAGUGCUGAAACCAUCCCCCUGUUCUAAUCUUGUAGCAUGACUAGCAUCUGCAGGACUUGUUCUGCUUGUAUCAUUUCCUGUUUCUUGUGUUUAGGUGCCAGUGUGUGUGUUACAUGUAGACUGUGUUACCACCGUUCUGCCUCAAGAACACGCAUGCACACUAGAAAAGGCAUUUGUUAGCUGCCAGCAACUUCUGGUCAAGCUUAGCGAUAAUUUCUUUCAAGUAUGGAUCGACAUCGAAGAACUGUACAAGUAGAUGCAGGAUGAAGUAGGUAGGUAGGUAGCUAACCCACUCGAGCGAGGUCUGGUUGUGGAAUUGCCUUCUGGAACGUCUACUUGUAUGGUUCUACUGUAGAUUCCAAGCCAGGCAGGUGAUGGCAUUCUCAGGCCUGCUGAACACUGAGCACUUGUUUCGUUGGUAACAACAG